CAUCCAGCUCUCCCUCUUUUCAGCCAGCUUUCUACGGAAUAUCAAUGAGUACCUGGCCGUAGUCGAUGCCCCUCCCUUGGACCUCCGGUUCAGCCCCUCAGGCUACCUCUUGCUGGCUUCAGAAAAGGAUGCUGCAGCCAUGGAGAGCAACGUGAAAGUGCAGAGGUGGGUGCCUGGCACAGCCUCUCAGCUGCUUGGCAGCCAAAGAUGUUGGGUGACUCCUGCACCAGGUUAGGAAGUGAGAAAGUGGAGCUGAUAAGACAGAUCCCUGCAGUCUAGGACCUCAGUGUGUCAGGAAGGAAAUACACAGACCUGCAGUGCCCUGUGAGUGCUGUACGACGGAUAUGGACAAAACACUGCAAGGUGCUUCCUAAUUUGUCAGAUCAUGAAAACCACCUGGAACACAUCCGAGACCUAAUAAAGCAGAAUCUCUAGGGAAGGAGCCCACAAAUCUGGGUUUUUAACAAGAACCUAAGUCAGGAGUUAGCAAACUUUUUCUGUAAAGGGCCAGAUAGUAUAUAUUUUAGGUUUUGCUGGCCGUACAGUCUCUAAUCCAACCGCUCUGCUAUCACAGCAUGAAAGCAGCCAUAGACAAAAGUGCAAAUGAAGGAGUGUGGCUCAUUUAUGAAAAGAGGCAGCAGGUCGGAUUUGGCAACCCCUGCUCUAAGUGAUUCUCAUGCUCAGGUGAGGGUGGGCAUCUUUGUGAUGCAAUAUGGCCAGAGGCUUUAUUUUUAUGUUUAUUUAACAAACACCCAAGUCUCACAGUGACAUCAAUUAAUAUCCUAAAUGCUGUACAGAU
rnacentral:sRNA from 1 species